CGCGCCAGCAUUUAAACCUCCCGCCCAGGCUCCGUUGUUUUAGACAGAGAUGACUCAGCUGCGCCUGCGCGGACUUCUAGGGUGACAGUUAUUUGUUUGUUCGUUCGCUCGUUCGUUCGCUCGUUCGUUCGUUCGUUCGUUCGUUCAUUCAUUCUGGUUGUUGUUAGUACGUACUUCCAUUCAAGUAGUGGCUGGCCGGCUGCUUUGGGUCGUGAUUUUGAGUUGGAGAUAACAACGUGAGAAAAACCCCCGUUACUUACUAGGAUGAAAGUUCUCGAGAGAAAGAAUACUGAAACGCCCCUCGGAACCGGAAGUUAAGUCCAGUCCAGAGCGUGUGGAUGGGAAGAAUCGAUGCAGAAUCCGUCACUCAGAGCGAUUUUCAGCACCUCCUCCACAAAGACCUGGAAGCUGUUGAUCUGUUUGUUGGCAGGCACCACCCACAGCCUUUUGAGGUUCUGCUUGGUGUACUCUUCCUCUGGAAGGCCUUCCACAUUGGCCACCCAGUCAAGAGUCAGGUGGUUGGGGUCCUGCAAGUGGCUGGUGAUGGAGGACAGAUUGCCAUUGGAGCAGUAGAAGAGCUUAGAGCCAAGGAGCUUGAGGAAGAGGCAGGAUGUGCUGAAGAUGUUGGCAUUGAACACCUCCAUGCUGGAGGAUGACAGGCUGUAGAUCUGAGGUGCCUCCCGCACGGUGAAGUGGACUGUCUGCACGCGCUGCUUCAGCGUGAUGUUGAGCAUGGCAUUCUUCUCUGCCUUGGAGAGCUCUAUCUCCUUUUCCUGCAAGGCCUCAAUCAGGGGCUGUACCUGGUAGAAGUCAGCUUCCCUGCGGAGCAGGCCCAUCUCCUGGAAGUCCUCUGGCAGGUCCAGAACUACCAUGGAUCACUUAGUUUCUGGCCUCCAAAUGACAAUCCUUUUUGGACCCCCCAUCUCCCCCAUCCCUACCCACUCUGUCGUGAAGAGUCUCAUCCUCACAUCUGAAGCUGACUGCAGAGCAGUGUUCCUCCUGAAGGCGCUUUACCCACUCUUUCAAAACACCCUUGGCUAGUGACGGCCCGGUUGGUGGAACAUUCAUUGCUCUUGCAGAGGACCGGGUUCAAUUCUCAGCACUCACAUGGUGGCUAACAACUAAGUGCCUGCAACUCCAGUUCCAGAGAAUCUAAUGCUCUCCUCUGGCCUCUGAGGGCACUGCAUGCCUGUGGUGCACAGACAUACAUGCAGGCAGAAUAUUCAUACUUAGCAAAUAAAAAUAAGUAAAAUAUUUUUGAAAGACAAUGAAAACACCCCUCACUGCCUCUAAGCCUUCAGCAUCUAGGGCAUUUACCUCCUUAAACUGUAAGCCCUGGGUCUUUUUAAGGUUCUUGAUAGCAUGAGCUAUACCCUCUCGGCUUCUACAGGAGCAUGUAGAAUGGAUUCAGUAGUGUUACACUGACAUGGAGGUGGGUAGACCAAGAGAAAUAAACCUCAGGACUGCCCUACAGAAGAGUAUGCUGGGGGAUGUGGGGGGGGGGCAGACAACAGCCAGUGCAGGUGUGCUGACCAGACAGACGCAUGGAGGGCUGGGGAGACGAAACACCCUGCUCAACACACAGGUCCAUGGGGGUGGGGCGAGAGAGGCAGCAAACGCUUCUCUGUGUGCCUGCCAUGUGAAGAGUGCGUCUACAUCGAGACCCCUUUCUCUCCAGCGAUGGGACCAGGAUGGACAAAGAUCCCAGCUGCUUUGUUCAUCUGGCUGGAAGCACCUGAAGGUCUAACGGGGCUUUUUGAUAUUGCUGCAGAAAAGCAUUAACCAUCUGGAGUGUCUGAAGAGGAACAGCCCACGUUGAAGUUACAAAACUCUUGGCAGAAACAUGGAGCAGAUGGGCUGUGAGACAGACAUUGGGGAGGGCCAACAGAACUGGGUGGGCAAGCAGCUGUGGAAGGGGUGGAGCCAGCACUUGGAAACAGCAGCUGGGAAGGGUGCUUAGGGCUAACAGCUGAGUCGGGCACAGCAGGAUCCAGGAGUGGGUCACCCUUACCUGGAUUAGAUAAACUAAUCCACAAUC